CCUACGGGAGGCAGCAGUGAGGAAUAUUGGUCAAUGGACGAGAGUCUGAACCAGCCAAGUAGCGUGAAGGAUGACUGCCCUAUGGGUUGUAAACUUCUUUUAUAUGGGAAUAAAAUGUUCCACGUGUGGGAUUUUGUAUGUACCAUAUGAAUAAGGAUCGGCUAACUCCGUGCCAGCAGCCGCGGUAAUACGGAGGAUCCGAGCGUUAUCCGGAUUUAUUGGGUUUAAAGGGAGCGUAGGUGGAUUGUUAAGUCAGUUGUGAAAGUUUGCGGCUCAACCGUAAAAUUGCAGUUGAAACUGGCAGUCUUGAGUACAGUAGAGGUGGGCGGAAUUCGUGGUGUAGCGGUGAAAUGCUUAGAUAUCACGAAGAACUCCGAUUGCGAAGGCAGUUCACUGGACUGCAACUGACACUGAGGCUCGGAAGUGUGGGUAUCAAACAGGAUUAGAUACCCCAGUAGUC
rnacentral:rRNA from 1 species